rnacentral:rRNA from 1 species
AAUUAGGAUUAGAUACCCUAUUAUUAGGGAGCUUAACAUUGUAAGUAUAUAAAUAUUAUGAAAGCAAAAAAUUAUGGCGGUAUCUUAAGCUUUUCAGAGGAAUUUGCUCUAUAAUGGAUAAAACACCUUAAUCUUACUUUAAUUGGUAAAAGACAGUUUGUAUACCACUAUUAAAAUAAUAAUAUACAAUUAUUAUUGAAGUAUAUUAUUUAUAUAUUUAAAUAAAAUUAAGUCAAGGUGCAGCAAAAAUUAAAGUAUGAAGUGAAUUACAGUCCUUUUUAGGUAAAAAAAAUGAAAAAGAGUUUAGGAUUUGAAAGUAAAAUUAAAAUAGAAAGUUAAUUUGAAUUAAGCUCUAGGAUAUGUACACAUCGCCCGUCGCUCU